ACGAAGGUGGCAACCGUUGCUCGGAUUCACUGGGCAUAAAGCGCGCGUAGGUGGUGACGUAAGUCACUGGUGAAAUCCCCCGGCCCAACCGGGGAAUUGCCGGUGAAACUGCGUUGCUUGAGGACGGGAGGGGAGAGUGGAACUCUUGGUGUAGCGGUGAAAUGCGUAGAUAUCAAGAGGAACGCCGGUGGCGAAAGCGGCUCUCUGGACCGUACCUGACACUGAGGCGCGAAAGCUAGGGGAGCAAACAGGAUUAGAUACCCGCGUAGUCC
rnacentral:rRNA from 1 species